GGACAGCUGGCCGAGUGGUCGAAGGCGCACGCCUGGAACGCGUGUAUAGGGCAACCUAUCGAGGGUUCGAAUCCCUCGCUGUCCACCA
rnacentral:tRNA from 4 species